rnacentral:rRNA from 1 species
AACGAACGCUGGCGGCAUGCCUAACACAUGCAAGUCGAACGAGACCUUCGGGUCUAGUGGCGCACGGGUGCGUAACGCGUGGGAACCUGCCCUUAGGUUCGGAAUAACUCCCCGAAAGGGGUGCUAAUACCGGAUAAUGUCUUCGGACCAAGGAUUUAUCGCCUUUGGAUGGGCCCGCGUUGGAUUAGCUAGUUGGUGGGGUAAAAGCCUACCAAGGCGACGAUCCAUAGCUGGUCUGAGAGGAUGAUCAGCCACACUGGGACUGAGACACGGCCCAGACUCCUACGGGAGGCAGCAGUGGGGAAUAUUGGACAAUGGGCGAAAGCCUGAUCCAGCAAUGCCGCGUGAGUGAUGAAGGCCUUAGGGUUGUAAAGCUCUUUUACCCGGGAUGAUAAUGACAGUACCGGGAGAAUAAGCACCGGCUAACUCCGUG